rnacentral:lncRNA from 1 species
AAAAUGAAAGAGGAGGGAACGAAAAACCUACCUGAUCUGCAGGUGUUGCUGGAGGCAAAGGACUGGGAAUAACACUGGCUUUGGAAGAUUCUCUUCUCUUCCUUUCUGUUUUUUAUUUGCUUUCUCUUCUGGCUUCCUCUGUUAUGUGCUCCCUAAUCCUUCUUCCCCGUGUUUGUUCUUUCUCUCUUUCGUCACUGUCUUCUCUGGUUCUUAUGCGUUCCUCUGUUUCUUUGAGAAGAAACAGGGGAAUAAUAGUCCUGCUAUUCGGGCUCGUCCUUCUGGGUUAUUCUCUUGUUCUCUCUGUGUGUUUAUUUCCUGGGCUUUCCUCUUUCUCUAAUGGUUUUUUUUUCGGGUUUUCUCCUCUGGUUUUUCUGCUCAUUCGUCCUCUGUCUCCUGGGUUUUUUCCGCCUUUUCUCUUGUUUUUCUCAGUUCUCUCUUCCGAUGGUUUGGAGUGUGCAGCUGGAGACGAAUAAUUAGGCUGACCAACGCUUGCAGUUUCCCUGCACUUCACUUGCGUUUUGAGAACAAAGGCAAAGCAGGCCUGCUGUCCUUUUGCUCUCUCCCUAUUUCUCUGUUUUUAGGUCCCCUCUCUGUUUUCGUUCAUGCUCCCCAUUGGCCCCUCGGUUCUGCCCUUUUUUCUCCUCCCCUGUUCUGUCAUUACUUCUCCUUUUAUAAGACCAAAAUCGGUGGUAACAGCCAGCCUCAUAAACGCCCUGCAACCGACCCUUUAGGCACCAUCAAUGAUGAAACGUAAGCGGUGACUGCCAACGGAUGAAACGUCUCUGCCAUUAAUGGCGGAGCCGUUGCUGAGGAAGAAGACGGUGAACAGUCAAUGCGAAACGACUCCGUUUUCCAGCUCUAAAGGUUGCUUUCAAUUUAAUCCUUGUAAUUCUUGUACUUUUGCAAUCAAGCCCCUGGUUAAAAUGUAAUUGGAUCCUUGCAUUUCCGCGCCAUUUUCAAUCUGGUCCUUGGAUUUUAAUUUUUGCAAUUUAGACCCCAAUUAAACUCCACACUUUGAUAUUUCUUCAAUUAAGUCCCUGAUUUCAUCAAUUUAAUUAAAUCCAAGUCCAAUUAAGUCUAAAACUUAUCAAUUCUCCAAUUAAAUCCUUAAUUUGAUUAAUUAAAUUAAUUCCAAGCUUAAUUAAGUCUCAAAUCUUAUCAAUUCUCCAAUUAAACCCUUAAUUUGAUUAAUUAAACUAGUCAAGAAUUUAAUUAAAUCUUUAAACUUCCAAUCAUGUUGCCCUUAACCCAAAUUUUAAUUCAUUCUUCAUUUAUUUUAUUUUUACUUGUUUUUCAUCAUUUUUUUUUAGUAAAUAAAAUAAUUAAAAUAAAAAGGUCAAAAAUUAGGUUAUGACAGUUGCCCCCUGUUUAUAAUAUUUACUAUGCAAAGAUAUUGGAAAAUUUCAUUUUCCAUUAGCUUUGUGUAGUAAAUUUAUAAAGAAAAGUAAAUACAGAAAGAACCUUUGUUUUUUUUGUUUUUGUUUUUGUUUUUUUUUUUUUAAAUCUUGAAAACUUUGAAAACAUGAGAUUGACAUAUGACUUUUAUAGAGAGAUGUUGAAAUCAAGAAACAAGUCAUUUGGACGAUGACCCACUUUUUUUGUUUUUUGUUUUUUUUUGUUUUUUAAAUGGAUCAAAUUGUUUUGGGCAACCUGUCCGAUGAUAAAAGAACGCGAAAAGGGUUUCGCGAGUGGUCUAAUUGUUCCAGACGACCUGCCCGAUAGGAAGAAUAAAACGCGAAAAGGGUUUCGCGAGUGGUCAAAUUGUUCCAGGCGACCUGCCCGAUAAAGAAUAAAACGCGAAAAGGGUUUCGCGAGUGGUCAAAUUGUUCCAGGCGACCUGCCCGAUAGGAAGAGUAAAACGCGAAAAGGGUUUCGCGAGUGGUCAAAUUGUUCCAGGCGACCUGCCCGAUAGAGAAUAAAACGCGAAAAGGGUUUCGCGAGUGGUCAAAUUGUUCCAGGCGACCUGCCCGAUAGGAAGAAUAAAACGCGAAAAGGGUUUCGCGAGUGGUCAAAUUGUUCCAGGCGACCUGCCCAAUAAAGAAUAAAACGCGAAAAGGGUUUCGCGAGUGGUCAAAUUGUUCCAGGCGACCUGCCCGAUAGGAAGAAUAAAACGCGAAAAGGGUUUCGCGAGUGGUCAAAUUGUUCCAGGCGACCUGCCCGAUAAAGAAUAAAACGCGAAAAGGGUUUCGCGAGUGGUCUAAUUGUUCCAGGCGACCUGCCCGAUAGGAAGAAUAAAACGCGAAAAGGGUUUCGCGAGUGGUCAAAUUGUUCCAGGCGACCUGCCCGAUGAAGAGUAAAACGCGAAAAGGGUUUCGCGAGUGGUCUAAUUGUUCUAGACGACCUGCCCGAUUUGAAAAAUUCUCAAAAAUGAAAAAUUUUCGAAAGCAAUUUCAAUCUUUGGCCAUUUCAAGUUGGCCUUCCACUUGAUGGAUUCCGCCAGAAUUUUCUCUUAUGAAAUUUGCAAAACUCAUUGUCCAAUAUCUCAAAGUUUAGAUGAUAUGCAUGCAUCUUUACCUGAUUUGAAAUAUAGGCCCCCAUUUCUUCUUAGUCUUCUUGCUGCUUGAUUGAUAAGGACUUGCUACCUCUAAUUUGGGCCAUCUUUGUCGUUUGGCUUCUAGCCCACUCGAGUUGGCCCAUAUAAGUCUAUUUCCAGAUUUGUUUUCAUAACUCAACCUUUGUGGUGCCCAUCGUGACCCACUUGCUUGCUAAAUAUUUUCUGACUCGUCAAAUAAUUUGAGAGGACCACUAAUUACUCCUCGUUUCACUGCUAGAAACAUUCGGUGUCACUUGCUGAAAGGAUCAAGCUGUCUUUUGUAAACCAAAAUGCCCCCUUGUCUGGUUGAAGGAAAUUACCAUCUUUUUUCUAGAAUUUUUUUCUUCUAAACACAAUGUUGCCCCCUUGUAUUGGUCAUUGCCCCCAAGUGUGCUCUAUCAGCUACUUAGACAAAUAAUGGUUUUAAGAGGCCAUUCUCUCAUUUCUCUCCUUUUCAGUUUGGUGAAGGAUAUGGGUCGAGAAUAAAGCUUGAAAUCUUGAUCUUGCAUUUUGAAAAUAAAAAUUAUUUCGAUGUGAGCCUAAAACAAUUUGCUUUUGAAAUCUUGCAACUCUUUGGUUAUUUUCUUUCUUAGAAAAGAGAUUAUUGGCUCUUAUGUUUGGCAAUGAGGUCUUCGGUGAAAACAUGUCAUGAGAUGACCUUUUGUUUCAAAGUGAAGGGCUUGAGAAAAAGCUCGAGGUUUUGUUUGAGAAAAACAACUUGUCUCUUUUUUAACAUUCAUUUUUAUCAGCAUGAAUAAUAAUGAGUAGUUUAUUCUUGAUGUCAUGAAUCUUAUGAAAAAGUAUUCUUUGCAUUUGGAGAGCAUUGUUUAUUGUUCUAGGUUGCUUGCUUGCUUGAUUAGAAAGGACUUCUACAGGCACGUAAUGUAGGCUGUGGUUUUUGGCUAUGAAAGAAAAGGAUUCAUAAGGCUCAAAGAGUAUUUCAGGGUUUCAAAGACUGAGGAUCACUAUCAACAGUUUGACUAUUGACGUCAUUCAUAUUUUUCUUUUGCCACUCUUCUUUGAUUUGCUGCUUUUUCUUUUUUAUUGCUUUGCUAGGACAUACUCACUUUAUCUUGGAAGUCGCUUUUUCUAGUGAUUUGAGUAUGCCCCCUAGCAUUUGAGUUUCUUGAGCUUUUAUGCCUUUUUUGUAGCUUUCUCACGGCUUUUUCUCUUUUCUCAUUGAAAUUUUCUCUUGCCCCCCAGUGUGGGGUGUGAUCCUAGUCGGGGUUUUUUCAUGAAAGAAAAAUUAUUCAUGGCUCAAAAAGGGAUCGCAAGGGAUGUACUUAUUUUAGAACGUGAAAGGAAUAACAAAGAUGGCCUUUCCUCAUUUCAAGCACAAACAAUUAAGAUCAAUAAACUUUUACCUCAUCUAAUAUGAUAGUUUGGUCUUUUCAAAGAUGCAUUUCAUGGGUCAUGAGCAACGAGUUCACUACAUACCAUUAUUCAUACAUUUAAAAAUACAUGAUUCAAGAGUCAUGGGGUAAGGGUUAUUCAUUUUUUUUUUGUUUAUAAUUUAGUCACCUCAGUGAUGGAGUUGCUUGAUUCACUUGUCAUUCUACAAGUAGAAUGUCAAAAAUAUCGUUUUUGAAUAAACAUCAAAUUAUUUUUGAAAUCAAAACGCUAGAUCAAAUUUUCAAAACUCCAAUAGGGAAACUGAUUUUGGUAAAAGGGAUAAAUUGAGUCUAUGAGAUCACGCGAGGCUUCAAAAGUGUAUUCGUGAGUUCUUAUAAGCAAACUCUCUUAAUCAGAUGAAUAAUGCUUGGUCGUGAACACGAUUGAAUGACAAACUCAUUAUUUCAUUGAAGCUUAGGAAAAUAAGUUCAACAACAAAGAUCUUAUACCAACAUGAAUACUGGCAUUAUAACACAUAAAGGGGCUAAACAUGUAGUGAUCAUUGAUUGGAAUUUCUGGAAUCUUUCAAUCACUCAUUCUUCUUGACAAGGGUAUCUUUUUAGCAGUUAGUUGAAGCCAUAUGCAGACCAUUCUUGGCCUAAUAUCACCGUAGCUUUUUCUUCAAGAUAUUUGAUUUCUAGGAGUCGAUAUGAAGAAAUCAGCUAUAGGAACGAUAAGUGCCUUGACAACCACCUUCAGUGUCCUUUCCUUUUUUAGUGAAACCGUUCUUUUCAGUGGGAUCAACAAUUUUGCCUAACCCAAUGGCUUGCUCAAUCCUCUCAGCUAUAACAACCAGGUCAGUGAAAUGUUGCGCAGAGCUUCCAACCAAAUAUUCAAAGUACGGGGCCUUGAAAGUGUUGACAAACAAGUUGAUCAUCUCCUUUUCCAACAAAGAAGGGUUAACUUGUGCAGCUACCUCACUCCAUCUUCGGGCGUAUUCUCUUAUGGACUCCUUGUUGUUCUUCUCCAUAGCUUGCAAGCUUAACCGAUCAGGGCCCACGUCUAUAUUGAACUUAUAUUGCCUCAUGAAGGCAUCAACUAAAUCCUUUCAUUUUUUAACUUUGAUAUUAUCCAACUGUAUAUACCAAGUGAGGGCAGCGCCACUUAAGCUGUCUUGAAAGAAAUGAAUCAGCAAUUUCUCAUCAUCAACCACCUCAGCCAUUUUGUUGCAGUAUGCUUUGAGAUGAGUUAUAGGGCAUUGAGUUCCCGUAUAUUUAAUGAAUUCUGGCACCCUAAACUUCUUAGGAAUGACUAUGUUAGGUACCAAACACAUAUUGACAGCUUUCACCAAGUCACACAAAUGGUCUCCCUUAACUGCCCUUAUCCUCUCUUCUAAGGCAGUCCAUUUUUCCAAGUCCUCUUCUUUCACCAUCUUGCCCUUUUGAGAUUCUUUCUCGGUAGAAUCAAUGGUAAACGACAUUCUCCUGGGGUAUGCUGGCUGGAAAUGUAUAGCUUGUUGAAAUUCAGAUGACACCCUAUUUGCCCCUAGAUUCUGUGGAUCGAAAUGAGUUACAUGCAUAUCUCAAGCUGAGCUAUAAGUGUUGCUUUUCCGGAUUUAUCUCUCAAGGCCUGCUCGAGUAGACUAGUAAGCCUUGCGACUUCUUCUUUAAGAUUAUCCAUCUCUUUUUGAUGUUGGGCUUCCAACUGGGCUCUUUCUUCAUUUUCCAUUUGUCUUUUUCUCGAACGAGGGCUAUAGAUGGGUUUCAAUAGGGAACCUAUAUUUCAACCUGCUAAAUGUAAAUCAUGUAAUUAUGCAAAAAUGCUGAAGCAAUUAAAAAAUGCGUAUGAAAUGCGGACUUGCCCUACACGGGAUGACAACCUAAUAGGAAGUUCCUAAUUAUUGAGUGCAUCAAAGGGUCGGUCAUUAUCUAGUUUCAAAGGGUCUCUCGCAUGCUCAGUGAUCGUCCAUGAAAGGUCGAUAUGAGGCUUACAAGUAGUGUGAAGAUAGAGGCCCUGAGUAAUAUCAGUUUGGCAUAUCAACCACUUCCAAGUAAACAAUCAAGCGAGAGUUGGAUGGUUUCACGAGUCUUACCCAGGCUAAAGCCAUUGGGGUACCGUUACUCCCCCACUUAUCCUAGUUUGUAAAGUGUGUGCUUCCAAAGUGAUGCAUGACAACAUAAACAAAGAUGCAUGCUAAAGCAGUAAAUGCAGGAAAAUUAAACAAAUCAACACAAAAAAAAAAGCAAUAAUAAGACAAAAGACAAAGCUUAAUCCUAAGUUCCCCAGUGGAGUCGCCAUCCUGUCGCACCCGACAUCGCGGCGGCCCUAAAAAUAAAUCUUGAAUUAUGGAAAAAGAACAGAUUUCUGGUAUCUUGUUCUUUUAGGGGAAAAUGUCUUGUUUAAGGAGUCGCCACCUAGUAUUAUGGUCACUAGGAACCCUAACUGGUCAACAAAGAUUCUAUGGUACGGGAUUGGUUACGUAAAAGAGAAGAUAUUAUCAUCCCUUAAACGUUCUGCCUGAGGCAGACUGCAUUGCUGAUUUUGUUUUAAAUUGCUAAAUAUUUAUUGGUUUAUGCUCUAAUGGUUUACUUGCAAUAUUCCUGACUCUGGCGCCAGUGAAUAUUCAACUACGAAUAAUUCCAACUCUGGCGUUGGUAAAUAUUACGUAGCUAUAAAAUAAAUUUGGAUCAAUAUUUUUAUUCCUGACUCUGGCGUCAGUGAAAAAACCAAUAAAUUUAUGUUAUUUUUAUUCAUGCAUACACAUUUUUUUUUAUUUUUUAUUUUUCUCUACUUUUUAUUUUUCUAUUAUUUUUCUAUUUUUUUAUUUUUUUAUUUUGGGCUGGGCCCAGCUCAGCCCAUGGGGGCUGGGCUGGACCCAGCCAGCCCGGCCCGGCCCAGUCAGAGGCACCCGCAACGCGUGUGUGCACGAUGAAGGAGUAAUUAAAUUCAAGCUGCACAGUGACUUUGUAAUGAAAAAUGAAAGAGGAGGGAACGAAAAACCUACCUGAUCUGCAGGUGUUGCUGGAGGCAAAGGACUGGGAAUAACACUGGCUUUGGAAGAUUCUCUUCUCUUCCUUUCUGUUUUUUAUUUGCUUUCUCUUCUGGCUUCCUCUGUUAUGUGCUCCCUAAUCCUUCUUCCCCGUGUUUGUUCUUUCUCUCUUUCGUCACUGUCUUCUCUGGUUCUUAUGCGUUCCUCUGUUUCUUUGAGAAGAAACAGGGGAAUAAUAGUCCUGCUAUUCGGGCUCGUCCUUCUGGGUUAUUCUCUUGUUCUCUCUGUGUGUUUAUUUCCUGGGCUUUCCUCUUUCUCUAAUGGUUUUUUUUUCGGGUUUUCUCCUCUGGUUUUUCUGCUCAUUCGUCCUCUGUCUCCUGGGUUUUUUCCGCCUUUUCUCUUGUUUUUCUCAGUUCUCUCUUCCGAUGGUUUGGAGUGUGCAGCUGGAGACGAAUAAUUAGGCUGACCAACGCUUGCAGUUUCCCUGCACUUCACUUGCGUUUUGAGAACAAAGGCAAAGCAGGCCUGCUGUCCUUUUGCUCUCUCCCUAUUUCUCUGUUUUUAGGUCCCCUCUCUGUUUUCGUUCAUGCUCCCCAUUGGCCCCUCGGUUCUGCCCUUUUUUCUCCUCCCCUGUUCUGUCAUUACUUCUCCUUUUAUAAGACCAAAAUCGGUGGUAACAGCCAGCCUCAUAAACGCCCUGCAACCGACCCUUUAGGCACCAUCAAUGAUGAAACGUAAGCGGUGACUGCCAACGGAUGAAACGUCUCUGCCAUUAAUGGCGGAGCCGUUGCUGAGGAAGAAGACGGUGAACAGUCAAUGCGAAACGACUCCGUUUUCCAGCUCUAAAGGUUGCUUUCAAUUUAAUCCUUGUAAUUCUUGUACUUUUGCAAUCAAGCCCCUGGUUAAAAUGUAAUUGGAUCCUUGCAUUUCCGCGCCAUUUUCAAUCUGGUCCUUGGAUUUUAAUUUUUGCAAUUUAGACCCCAAUUAAACUCCACACUUUGAUAUUUCUUCAAUUAAGUCCCUGAUUUCAUCAAUUUAAUUAAAUCCAAG